rnacentral:tRNA from 1 species
ACAUCUUUAGCUGAAUUGGUACAGCAAUUGCCUUCGAAGCAAAAGUUUAUUGGUUCGAGUCCGAUAAGAUGUU